CUUUCUCAGCGCAAUUAUCCACCUGCAGUUCUGGCUUCCAAAGAACCCGGCCUUGGCGAGCUCGAUUGGCAUGGCCUUUGGGGGGCUUGGGAGCGUGGUGAUGG
rnacentral:rRNA from 1 species